ACGCUCGACACCUACGGGAGCAGCAGUGAGGAAUAUUGGUCAAUGGACGCAAGUCUGAACCAGCCAUGCCGCGUGCAGGAUGACGGCUCUAUGAGUUGUAAACUGCUUUUGUACGAGGGUAAACGCAGAUACGUGUAUCUGUCUGAAAGUAUCGUACGAAUAAGGAUCGGCUAACUCCGUGCCCGNAGCCGCCGGUAAGUACUGAGCGGGCGUGGCGAACGGACG
rnacentral:rRNA from 1 species